CCUAACCGAUGCACCACCGCAGCCUUAUCUUCUCAAGAACACUGCCGGCUUCGAACUCAAAGAACGAUCAUGCCAAAGCCCAAUUGCUUCCAAACUUGCCAUCAAGAUUAUGCCAAGAAGACACUCUUCAGACAUCUCACAACUUAGAAUUUGAUUUUUGGCUCCAACACAUAGAAAAACUAAAUCCUAAGGCACACUAGCAACACUUGCUAAUUCUCUCACCACCCUUCUUAUAACUUUUGCCUUUCAAUUUCUUCUUGCUUUUUUUCUCAGAUUUUUUCUAGAAUUUUUUCACUAAUUCACACACCUCUUAUCUCUAGUUUCCACACAAAUUCCUAGCACCAAGGAUAUAUGGGAUGUCCCAUAUAUAAGGGACGAAGAGACGUGUCAUGGGACCAAGGGUUGCCAAUCUUUGGCACUCCACUUUCUCAUGCUGUGAAUAAAUUCACCGUGUGGAAUUAUGGUACAAGAGAUCCUUUACAUAGAAGGACUCUCCCUCUUCUAUGUGCCAUAAAAAUUUCAUCUUUAAUUGGCAUUAAAUCAUAAGAGAUCAGGUUGAGAAAUUAAGACAAUGCAUUAAGAUAAGAGUCUUCAUGAAGGACUCUUCAUCUUCACAUGCUAAAAUGAGUGGGGGGGUAAUUAAUUUUUGGUGUGGCUUCUAGUAGGCACAGUGGAGUCCUUCUCCACUUAAAAUUAUUUCAAGUUGGGUAGGAAACUAAUUAAGAUAGACCCAAUCCUAUUAGGUCAAAGACAGUUAGGUCUAGGUUAGCUCAAACACUUUGAUCUAAACCAAUUUAGAAACUUGGGUUAAUACAAUGUGCUAGCAUAAAUAAUUAUCCCAUAAAAUUUAUAUUAAACUCUAAUUAAAUUAGAUCAAAGUCAAAUCUCAAAGUAUAUGAUUCAUUGGGUUCUAAAUCUAGCCAGCAGUAGACCAAGACUUUCGAUGUAACCCUAAUCCAAUUAGAUUAGGUCAUCCGAAGAGUCCCAAUCAACUAAGACUCUUCCUAAUUGAUUCCAGAAUUAAACUCUUUUAAUUUUGACGAGUCCACAAGUCAAGAUUGACGUCUAGUAAUAUGUCAUGACUAUGAAAAAAAUUUAAAAUUUUGAUAAAAAAUUAUCAAAAUAUCCUUCAGUAGUAAGUUAUCAUGUAAUUUAAUUAUUUAGUCAAACAAUAUCCCAGAUGAGCUGUGGACAUGGAAACAUAUCAAACCCAACUACUUAUCUUUAUGUAUCUCAAUCUGAAGGCAACGAUUCAAUUGAUG
rnacentral:lncRNA from 1 species